rnacentral:sRNA from 1 species
UAACGAUUAAAAUUUUUUCCUCUUCGCGCUACUAGGAGUCUCUUGCAAUUUGACGUUCACUUCAUCACUGCUUAGCGCUGUUCCAAGGUUUCAUUCGCGCUGCUCCUUCGUUUCAUUCGCGCUCCUCCUCCGUUUCAUUCGCGCUGCUCCUCCGUUUCACCACUGGUUAGGGCUCUUCUCCUCUGUUUCAUCAGCUGCACUCCCGUUUUCAACAGUGUGUGUGGCCUUUGCUCCUUCGUUUUAGGACUUCCGUUU